rnacentral:miRNA from 1 species
ACACAGGUGGGAAGUGUGUGUCCAGUGGGCGUGUCUACAGAUCUGCUCACCUUUCUACCUGUCAG